AUUGUAGUGAUCACACGGCCGGCAGCCUGGAGCCCCUCACCAGGUGCCCUGAGCUGGAGCGUCUCACCCUGUCCGGCGGCGUCCCUGACACCGUGAGCCUGGAGCCCCUCACCAGGUGCCCUAGGCUGCGGUAUCUCACCCUGUCCGGCGGCGUCCCUGACACCGUGAGCCUGGAGCCCCUCACCAGGUGCCCUGAGCUGCACAGUCUCACUCUGUCCGGCGGCGUCCCUGACUCCGUGCUGGACAGUCUCAGCGGCUGCCCCGGGCUGGAGGACCUUACACUGGGGGACCUCCAGCGGCCGGCAGAGACGGCCUUCACAGCAGCAGCGGUCACCAGACUGGUGAAGUCGUGUCGGAAGCUGUGGUGGCUGCGCCUUCACUGCACGGCAGACACCGGCCGGGCCGUGCUGACCGCCCUGAAGGAGGCGGACCUGGGCCGGGACAGUGAUGGCCGGCCCCGUACCAUCUGGCUCAAUGUCCCCGGGGAGCUGUACGAUCAGCUGAAGAGCCAGGGAGGCGGUCGGGUCAUAGUGUGUCCGUGGUGGGAUUGAUGCGCUGCACUACCGACCGUGCAGUGAUGAGCUGACUGCAGAGAGGCCGAGCCAGUCGGCCGGGGCCGCCAGCUGACUGCUGCCGUGUGUGCUGCACCAGCCGGCACUGAGAGCGGCGCCGGUCAGCCGGCACACGGCCCCCGUGUCCGCUCUAGUGUAGUCAUGUAGUUGUAGUAGUAGUAGUGUAGGUGUAGUAGAAGCACACGGAUGUGAUGUAGUGGGUUAUUACCGGGUGGGUAUUGUGGGUAAUUGGCUGGAACGAUGUGAUCUAGUGGGUAAUUACCGGGCGGAUAUUGUGGGUAGUUGGCUGGAAGGAUGUGACCUGGUGGGUAAUUACCGGGCGAGUAUUGUGGGUAAUUGGACAGUGAAAAGUGAUGUAGUGGGUAAAUACCGGGCGGGUACUGUGGGUAAUUGGACGGAGGUAUGUGAUGUAGUGGGUAAUUACCGGGCGGGUAUUGUGGGUAAUUGGACAGUGAAAAGUGAUGUGCUGGAGAGACUACCGAUCGUGGCAUUACGCUAUUCUGUAUGUAGAACCCACGUCUCUGGCCGUCCGACACGGUUCACCGCGCCUGGUCCCGGCGGCACGGCCGGCCUCGGUCACGUGACCGUCCCCCGGUGGAGUCGGACGGCUCGGUCACGUGACCGCUCCCCCCGGGUCUGGCUGCACCUCGGCUCGGCGGUGCUGAGCGCCGUGCUGAGCGUGUUGUGACACGUCCCACACGGACAGCUCUACUCGACUACUGGCUAGCUGCCGUCCGAGCUGGCAGUAUACACGCGGUGCCAGUUCAGACGGCGGCCGGCCGCGCCGCGCCCGCCCGCUCCGGUCCCGGCCGGCGGCCGUCACCCGGCCCGGGGCGGGGACCGGUCCGUCAGCUGACCAUUGGUCAGUCAGCUGAUUGGUCCGUCAGCUGGUUGGUCCGUCAGCUGAUUGGUCCGUCAGCUGAUUGGUCCGUCAGCUGAUUGGUCCGUCAGCUGAUUGGUCCGUCAGCCGCCCCGCUCUCCACCGGCGGAGCGCGGCGCCCGCCGAGACUCGAGACGUCAAACACAUUGUCCACUAUAUACACGAGAGGAGACGCUUCAGCUGUACCAUCUGUAGCCUAGGGCAAUUAGUUACCGGGCGAGUAUUGUGGGUAAUUGGAGGAAGUGAUGCGACGUAGUGGGUAAUUACCAGUCAGGUAUUAUGGAUAAUGUAACCCUGGGUAUGAUAUAGCCGGCUAUCCAACGGUCGAAUAUAGUCAGCUGGAUGCUACUGAAUUGUGUAGAGCUCUGACGGCACCGGUCAUAACGAGUGUCCUCGCGUCUGUCCGACUCGGUUCACGGAAGCACGCCGUCACGGCCCGGGUGUGCGCGCCGCCAUGUUUUGUGUCCUCUGCUUCGUACAGGGGGUAAUUGGGCUACCGACCGAUUGGGAGUCGGAGUCGGAGUCCGUGUCGAUCAAGCUGCCUUGACUCCGACUCCGGAACGGCUUUUUAGAUUUUAGUUAUCACUUGGCCAUGCUACUGAUAAUCGGCUGCGCUUUGACUAAUACAUUUUACACAUG